rnacentral:rRNA from 1 species
AAAUCAGUUAUCGUUUAUUUGAUAGUACCUUUACUACUUGGAUAACCGUGGUAAUUCUAGAGCUAAUACAUGCUAAAAAUCCCGACUGUUUGGAAGGGAUGUAUUUAUUAGAUAAAAAAUCAAUGCUCUUUGAGCUCUUUGAUGAUUCAUAAUAACUUUUCGAAUCGCAUGGCCUUGUGCUGGCGAUGGUUCAUUCAAAUUUCUGCCCUAUCAACUUUCGAUGGUAGGAUAGUGGCCUACCAUGGUUUCAACGGGUAACGGGGAAUAAGGGUUCGAUUCCGGAGAGGGAGCCUGAGAAACGGUUACCACAUCCAAGGAAGGCAGCAGGCGCGCAAAUUACCCAAUCCCGACACGGGGAGGUAGUGACAAUACAUAACGAUACAGGGCCCUUUCGGGUCUUGUAAUUGGAAUGAGUACAAUGUAAAUACCUUAACGAGGAACAAUUGGAGGGCAAGUCUGGUGCCAGCAGCCGCGGUAAUUCCAGCUCCAAUAGCGUAUAUUAAAGUUGUUGCAGUUAAAAAGCUCG